rnacentral:rRNA from 1 species
GCGCACGAGGCCUUUACUGACGCUAAAGCUCGAAGGUGCGGGUAUCGAACAGGAUUAGAUACCCUGGUAGUCCGCACGGUAAACGAUGGAUGCCCGCUGUUUGCGAUACACUGUGAGCGGCCAAGCGAAAGCGUUAAGCAUCCCACCUGGGGAGUACGCCGGCAACGGUGAAACUCAAAGGAAUUGACGGGGGCCCGCACAAGCGGAGGAACAUGUGGUUUAAUUCGAUGAUACGCGAGGAACCUUACCCGGGCUUGAACUGCCGGCGAACGAUACAGAGAUGUUGAGGCCCUUCGGGGCGCCGGCGGAGGUGCUGCAUGGUUGUCGUCAGCUCGUGCCGUGAGGUGUCGGCUUAAGUGCCAUAACGAGCGCAACCCCUCUCCGUAGUUGCCAUCGGGUGAUGCCGGGCACUCUGCGGACACUGCCACCGUAAGGUGUGAGGAAGGUGGGGAUGACGUCAAAUCAGCACGGCCCUUACGUCCGGGGCUACACACGUGUUACAAUGGGUGGUACAGAGGGCAGGCGUCCGGCAACGUCCGUCUAAUCCCGAAAGCCAUCCUCAGUUCGGACUGGGGUCUGCAACCCGACCCCACGAAGCUGG